UUUCCGUAGGUGAACCUGCGGAAGGAUCAUUACAGUAGUCGCCUGGGUUGCCGCAAGGCCUCCCGGGUAACCUACCACCCUUUGUUUAUUACACUUUGUUGCUUUGGCAGGCCUGCCCUCGGGCUGCUGGCUCCGGCCGGCGAGCGCUUGCCAGAGGACCUAAACUCUGUUUGUCUAUACUGUCUGAGUACUAUAUAAUAGUUAAAACUUGCAACAACGGAUCUCUUGGUUCUG
rnacentral:misc_RNA from 1 species